rnacentral:rRNA from 1 species
AUUGAACGCUGGCGGCAUGCCUUACACAUGCAAGUCGAACGGCAGCACGGGAGCAAUCCUGGUGGCGAGUGGCGAACGGGUGAGUAAAGUAUCGGAACGUGCCCAGUCGUGGGGGAUAACGUAGCGAAAGUUACGCUAAUACCGCAUACGAUCUAUGGAUGAAAGCGGGGGAUCGCAAGACCUCGCGCGAUUGGAGCGGCCGAUAUCAGAUUAGGUAGUUGGUGGGGUAAAGGCUCACCAAGCCGACGAUCUGUAGCUGGUCUGAGAGGACGACCAGCCACACUGGGACUGAGAAACGGCCCAGACUCCUACGGGAGGCAGCGGUGGGGAAUUUUGGACAAUGGGCGAAAGCCUGAUCCAGCCAUGCCGCGUGCAGGAUGAAGGCCUUCGGGUUGUAAACUGCUUUUGUACGGAACGAAAAGGUUUGGCCUAAUAAGCUGAGCUCAUGACGGUACCGUAAGAAUAAGCACCGGCUAACUACGUGCCAGCCGCCGCGGUAA